GCAGCAGCAGCAGCAGCAACAGCACUUAUUUGGAGAUCUUCAGUUUCAAAAACCCCAUUGCUAGUGUUGAUAUAAUUGAGGAUCUCAUUUAGGGAUUCAAGUCUUUGGCUAAGUUCCAUCAUCUGUGCCCUUAAAAUGGAGUUCUCAGCCUCAACAUUCAAGUAAUGUUGAGUGGUGAUAUUGAUGCUUGUAAGGAGUUGGUUAUUGUCUUUCUUUAGCUCUGUCACUUGGGACAUCAACUUAUCCAGGUGCUGCUGUUUUUUCUGCCUGGAUCUCCUUGCAGAUUCUCUGUUGGAUUGCAUUCUCUUCCUUUUUCUUUGAUCCAUCAAGAGCUGGAUGUCCUCUUCAGAGCCAGAGUUGUGAAGCAGAGAGGAUCCUGAUGAAUUUCCACUGGAGGAUGGCAUAUAGAGAUAUAUACUAUAUAUAAUUAUAUAUUUACACCAAAAUUACGGCUAAUAAUCUCUAUAAAACUGAGAUCUUGAUCUUACCUUAAUGACUUGAAAUUUGACGCAGGACCCAGGAGCUAAUAUAAAUUUGAUGGGUAAUCAAUAUAGCUAUAUAUAUGCAACUAAUAUACUAUAUUAGAUACAGGCAGAGAGAACAAGUUAUUAUUGAAAACACAUAGAACCAAUAAAGGAAAACAACAGAGAAAGAUUGAACAAGAUGGGUCCUGCGCCUGAGAGACGAAUUGAUCAUAAACCCGGAACGGAGGAUUUCACUGAGAACUGGAGACAUGAAUCUCAAACAUUAAGAUAAAAAUAUGCAGCAUCAAGAUUUAGAGAGACAGAAAAGGUUUUGUAUUUGGCAAGGCAGCAGCCAGAGAUCUCUCGGCUGUCAAAUGGAAGAAGGAUUUCAAGCCUUUGACUUUAUGGGUAUUAUCCCAAAGAUUCACAGCAAAAAAUCCAGAAAGCAGCCAAACCCACAAAAGAAGGGCACCGAUAAAAACAGUUUCUGAGGUGAAACCAACAGAACCGCAGCUCUCAGGGAAAGAGCUAGAAAAACCAGGAAAUUUUUGGGGAAGAGAAUAGAAAAGAAGUGAAGAGGUAAAUGAGGGAAUUGGUGAGGGAAUUUAUAGUUCAAAUGGGAAGAGAAGAGUGAAGAGAAUGAGAGAAAACAAAAUUAAAAA
rnacentral:misc_RNA from 1 species